rnacentral:rRNA from 1 species
CCUACGGGUGACAGCAGUGGGGAAUAUUGCACAAUGGGGGAAACUCUGAUGCAGCGACGCCGCGUGAGGGAAGAAGUAUUUCGGUACGUAAAGCUUUAUCAGCAGGGAAGAAAAUGACGGUACCUGACUAAGAAGCCCCCGCUAACCACGUGCCAGCAGCCGCGGUAAUACGUAGGGGGCAAGCGUUAUCCGGAUUUACUGGGUGUAAAGGGAGCGUAGACGGCAGCGCAAGUCUGGAGUGAAAUCCCAUGGCUUAACCAUGGAACUGCCGUGGAAACUGGGCAGCUAGAGUGCAGGAGAGGAAAGCGGAAUUCCUAGUGUAGCGGUGAAAUGCGUAGAUAUUAGGAGGAACACCAGUGGCGAAGGCGGCUUACUGGACUGUAACUGACGUUGAGGCUCGAAAGCGUGGGGAGCAAACAGGAUUAGAUACCCGUGUAGUC